rnacentral:misc_RNA from 1 species
AUAAAAUUGACUUUUCAAAAUACCAACAGCCAGCUUUCACGUCGUCUCGAAGUUCCAGCAUAUUUUCGGCAUUUUCUCUGUAAUUAACGUGAUUUCAAGUUUGCAUUUGCUUCGUGAUACAUCCGGGCAUGUAUACAAGUCAAUAUUGACGUGGGGAGAGCCGCAUAUUUCGUCAAGUGCAAUAAUUUCGUGUCCGGUCAGUGAUCAAGUGCACCUGACUGUUCUGGUUGGGACGCGAAUUCACCGUAAAUUGCGUCUGCUGGACGGCCCUUAUCAGACUUCGCUUAAUUCCCGAAAACUGUCCCGUCCUGGCAAGUGGCAGAAAUAGGUCAAAGAACACUCAACGGCCGGCAUUGGUUCUGAUAAAAUUUCAAACAGCUGUCAAAGUCACCUGUGCGCUCCCCGCCACUCUGCGCGUCAGUCCAUCACCUUCAGGAAUCUACUCGAAAACCACACGGCCGACAACUUAACAGCGCUCAAGUGCGCUCCGCAACCGUCAUUAGAACGAGACAGCUGUCUAAUAUCUCAUUUUUCAAAGGCCUGCAUUAAAAUGGCGACUUUUCACCAUCAAUAAGUCGAGUGAGUGGUUCUGAGGUGAUGUUAGUCGUGAGUUUUUCCACAAAUAAUCCUAGUUUUAAGUCGCCGAAUUACACGAAAACAUCGUAAAACGUGAGACGGGAGUCGGGCGCGUCUUUUGACAUAAGCUUGGUGUCGCGCAGUGAUGUAAUUCCAGAGGAAAUCGAAUGAAAAGUUUGCACUGCCAAGUUGCAGAAGUGAAGAAGAAAAUUUGUGAAAUUCUGAAAAUUUGUUAAGAAACGUUGCAUCACCACCCGUUCUGUGGUUCGCGGACGUGGUUAUCAAUUCCCCAUUGAAUUUGCCCCGGGGACUGUCCGACCGAGUGAGUUUUCAGCCACCCUUCAGGUGCCCCAGGAAACUUCUUGCCUAAGCGACUUUUUCCACUGCUCUUUCUUGUGUGUGCAUUGAAAGCGGGUUGUUGUUAGUGUUUAUAGGCCUGGUCGGUCCGAGUCGGCCACAGGGAGGCGAACGAUCCACGGCAAAACAAGAAGAAAGCAAUUCAAGUCUCUGACACGAGUUCCAACUCUGCGUUGUGUGCGGCCAUUUCUCGAGAGUUGUGGCUGGCGACAAAUUCAUCGCAUCUGGGGUCGCACACGCACGUUGGAUUUUCACGAAAUGUCCGCUGCCGUGGCCGAGUCGAUUUGAAGACGCCUGACGCGCGACAUUUUGACGGGAAUUUAUGCAGCGCCGCGGCCACCCCGGAAAUUGAUUCGUAAUGGGAAAACGCAGCGCUUACGACAGCACGCCCGCGGCCCAGCAGCAAACAGGCGGCCCCAAGACAAAACGGGCCAGGCUCAAUGGACAGCGACGCCACCCGCUCCGGCGAAAUGUAAGCUACAACAGCGAAACGUCCGAGGAUGAGUCGUCCGCGGCUAGCUCCUCGUCACACUCAUCCGCUGCCUCUACAAAUGAUAAAUGCAAACAGUCGCCAAAACCAGACUUCCAGCUGACGCGUGAUCUGGUCGCCGGAACCAUCCUCACGGACUUGACGCAGAAGGACUGGCGCAUUGGAAGUCCAAUAGGCAAGGGCAGCUUCGGAGAGAUCUUCCUCGCGUCCGACAACACAGCCGUCCCGGUGACAAGGGACAACGCCAAGUACGUGGUGAAGAUCGAGCCACACUCCAAUGGGCCGCUCUUCGUUGAGAUCCAUUGCCUCCUCAACACCGCCAAGAACACAGUUGACGAUCCUCUCCCUCCUGGAAUGCCCGAAUACAUUGCAUCCGGUUCACAUUAUUUCAAAAAUAUCCGCUAUCGUUUCCUAGUUUUGCGUCGCUUUGACUGUGACCUACAUUCAAUAAUAAAACGUCAUCGUGUUGACGAAAAAUCGGUCCUAGUUUUAGCCGUACAAAUUUUGGAUAUUUUAGAACAUCUCCAUGACAAAGGUUACUGCCAUUCCGAUAUUAAAGCUGAAAAUCUCAUGAUCAGCAAAUGUACGUAUCACAAGAAAAAAUCACGGCCAAUAGAUCUAUCGUCUGACACGUCGAGUGACACCGAGCUCCAUACGAAGUCCGACGACGAUUCGAACGAUGAAGAUUUAGACGAUGAUGACGAUAAUGAAUCGGAAUACCGGACGCCAACAUCAUGGAAAAGGAAGAAUUUUGUGCCGUUUAGCGGAUCGAAUCCGGUGCGGUCUUGUCGAUUAAACAGGCGUAACGUCUCAACCUAUCAAGAGUUGGUCAAUUCACAUUACUUACGUCCCACAAAAAAGAUAAACUACACGGAAUUUGACGAGAAUUCCAAAAGCAGCGAAGACUGCACAAUUGAUGAGAUUAUCAGCCGCCAAAGGAACACCACUCGGCGCGUCGCUCCCGCAGAAGAAAAACAGGCUUCUUCACAUCCUGGUAAACUGGUGACGGAGGAUCGAAUAUUUCUCAUCGAUUUCGGUUUAGCAUCAAAAUUUAUCGAUUCAAGCGGCAACCACCGGCCUUUCUGUAUGGAUCAACGCCGAGCCCACGAUGGAACUCUAGAAUUCACAUCGCGGGACGCCCAUUUGGGAGCUCAUUCGCGUCGCAGCGAUCUUGAAUGCUUAGGCUACAAUCUGAUAUAUUGGUCACAAGGAUAUUUGCCGUGGAAAGAGACUGCCGCUCAACAGCAACACGAAAAAGUCCAUUGGAUGAAAGAGUAUCUAAUGACUGAUGUCCGAGAGAUGCUCAAGCAGGUUUACGGUAAGUCAGUUCCUAAGUAUUUGGGGGAAUAUAUGCACUAUGUUGGCUCGCUGGCUUAUCAUGAACGCCCCAAUUAUGAUAAGUAUCGAAGGAUUUUCCAGCGAGAAUACUCCAAACUAGGCGCUAAAUGUGACGAGAUGGUCCUGAAUGUGGCAGAGCUUAAACGCAAGCUGAAAGAGGUGAAGGAUGAAGUCGAUAACAAUAACGAAAUCGAACUUAAAAAUUUGAAAAGUAUUAUGAAGAAUUUAGGAAUUCUACUACCAUUCCGCGAGAGUAGUACGAAUCGGGUGUCGCCGAAAAACCUACGAUCAAUGUCCGAAAAGCAAUCAAAGAGUAAACGCAAAAAGUUCUGUUGGGCCGAGAUUCUUAGCCAAGAUCCUGAUCAAAUAGCGCGAGAGCGGGCGGAGAAGGAAUUCGAACGCGAGCCAUCAACUGAAACUCCGGUUAUCCGUUACUCCGGGAAACCGACGUAUGCUAUCCUAGAAAUUGAAAAUCGUAUUAAGUUUAAAGAUCGGUUAGAAGCUUGUAGUGACCAGGAAGAGGAUGAGAUCUUGAUCAAGGGCUACACAAAGCCCAUGAUGGAGAUCCUUCGGAAACGGCAAAGCGCAUUAUUGGCCGAUAUCGAAGAGAAGAAGCAGAGCGCGAAUCAUAAACCCGUUACAAGAACUAGAGCUAAGGCAGGUUUACGAACUGUGAUCACUCCGACUAAGCGCGGAUUAGACUAUAGUAAUGAGUUAGGUCAAAGACGUGCCGCGGCAAAGCAACGUGUACAUAAGAAUAGUGGCGAUUUCACCAGUACGGACGAGUCAUCAUGCAGCAGUUUAAACUCGGUCGCGAGCAGUACAAAUUCAACGGCUCAUAUAACGUCUAAUAAUGGCGCGAAAAAAUCGCAAUAUCCCGAAACGGACUAGAUAUCGUCAUCAAAAUCAUUCGGGAUCCAGUAAAGCAGCGGCGAAUUUAAGUAAUGUUGUCGGAAGUAAAAAACGUAAGAAGAGUAUACCCAGGAAACGUAACGGUAGAGCGUAACAAAAGAAAAGCAAACAAAACGUUUGUUAUGAGAUUGUUGUCGACUCAAUGAUUUGUUAUCAAGAAAGAUCAACAAGAUAGAACUGCAAGCGCAUUAAUAUACUUUUAUAAAUAUGUAUGAUCACAAAUGUUGUAUACACAAGAGAGAAUGAUGAAUUCGGUAGUGGCGAAGCGAACAUAAGGAGAAUCAAUAAGUUAUUACAAGAAAUAAUUGUAACAUACACAAAAACUACUGUUAAAUACAUAAAUCAAUGUCAUGUCAGUUAAAGCUAAGAAUAACAGAAAAUCUAAAUGAGCAUGUUCACAUAUUUAGUAUUACGAAUAUUAUAUUUCAUCCAACUGUAUAUUUCCCAAUAAAUCUGUAUCGAAUAUUGCCUAACUCUAUUGUAUUUAUGCAGUUUCAAUCGAACAUAAAAGAAUCCAAGUAGAAAAUUAUAAACUCUCAGAUUUGUAAUGAUAUACGCAGAGUACGUCGCAUGAAAAUAUAUUGAACUAACAAAAAUCCAAAAGAACUGUUGUUACUCUUAAAUGUUGCAGUUAGCUGGAAAGAUACAUUAUUCACAUUGCAAAAUUAUUAAGUAAGAACUGAAUCCGAACAAAAAUGAAUUACAAACAGAAGAAUUAUUAAAAUACUAUUAAAAAAUAAGAGGAAAGUAAUAAAGAAGAAUAAACUAAUCAUUGCCGCCUAUAUAUGUGUUGUACAUGUACAAGUUUUUAUUGUUCCCUCGAUUUUAUCCAACAAAAUUUGGUAUCCAAAUUUUCCAUUUACUCUCGUAUUUACUAUAGAAUAAGUUUCUUUAUAUCAUUUAUUUUUAGUUGUGUUUCUUUCUGUUUUUAGUGUACAUUUCUACAUUGUAGAGCCUAGGAAAAGAGAAUCAAAUAAAAAUGGAAAACUACUAUAUAUAUAUACCCAUAUUUUCACUUGUUUUGCUUUAUAGAUUGGCUUCUUCAAUAUAGGCUUAGGUAGUUGAUAUAACAAAUUCAGACAAAUUAUUUGAUAUUAGAAAUCAGCCACGUGUUUUCUAUAUUAUAUUAUCCACCAUAUUAUCAUUACGGUUAUUAUGAAAUUCUAAGUGAUUUUUUUCUAAUUUAGUUUCUUAAAUAUUAUUUAAAGAGAAAAAUAACAAAAGGGUUAAUGAUCGUAUCUAGUAGAGGAUAAUGAAUAAAAUUGCGGAUAAUAAACAUGAAAAAUCAUAAAAAUACAUAAUAAAUAUAAAUAAAUGAAAAGCAAACUUCAUAA